GAAACUUAAAGGAAUUGGCGGGGGAGCACCACAAGGGGUGAAGCCUGCGGUUCAAUUGGAGUCAACGCCAGAAAUCUUACCCGGAGAGACAGCAGAAUGAAGGUCAAGCUGAAGACUUUACCAGACAAGCCGAGAGGUGGUGCAUGGCCGUCGCCAGCUCGUGCCGUGAGAUGUCCUGUUAAGUCAGGUAACGAGCGAGAUCCCUGCCUCUAGUUGCCACCAUUACUCUCAGGAGUAGUGGGGCGAAUUAGCGGGACCGCCGCAGUUAAUGUGGAGGAAGGAAGGGGCCACGGCAGGUCAGUAUGCCCCGAAACUCUGGGGCCACACGCGGGCUGCAAUGGUAAUGACAAUGGGUUCCAAAUCCGAAAGGAGGAGGUAAUCCCCAAACAUUACCACAGUUAUGACUGAGGGCUGCAACUCGCCCUCACGAAUAUGGAAUCCCUAGUAACUGCGUGUCAUUAUCGCGCGGUGAAUACGUCCCUGCUCCUUGCACACACCGCCCGUCGUUUCAUUGAAGUGAGCUUUUAGCGAGGUGACGUCUGAUUGGCGUUAUCGAACUUGAGGUUCGUGACAAGGGAAAAGUCGUAACAA
rnacentral:rRNA from 1 species